UUUUCAAACAAUUUUUUUCGUCUUACUCUCCCGACGUGGUGGUUUUAUUACAACGGACGGCCGAGGAGAGUCCAAUUCGACGCCGUGUAUCGUGUACGUGUGCGUGAGUGAGUGAGUGAGCGUGUGUUAUGUCCACGUACGCCGACGUCCACGGCGGCCGUCCGCGAGGCGUUUUGUCGUCCGCCACCGCCGCCUCUGUCGUCCGCACUGCAUAAAACCGUCCCUCGCCGCCGUAGUGCCUACCCCGCUAUCGUCCGCGCGACGACCGAGCAGCGCCAGACUCUGCGUAUGAUUUCAACGCCCCGACCGCGUCGUCCUAUAUCGGUGAAGGGAACCGUGUGCCGUCAUCCCCCCAACCCCCUGGGACACUGCACCACCUUGGGACGUAGAUUUUCCGGCGCCUCUCCCGUCAACCGUAAUCUGUAACCUCCUCGCGCCGAAAGUCGAACUUUGACCUCGACAAUCGUGCAAGUCGUAUCGUCGUUUGCUGUGCGACUUAGCAAUGGUUUUGGACCGACGGCGAUGAUAACGGUGCGCGAAAAAUGGUGAUAACGUCGUCGUCGCUGUUGUUUCAUUGCUGCUGUUGGUGCGGCGGUCGCGCGGUCCAAAGCUGACACACGACACUCCGCGCCCUGCGAACGGCCCGCCGAGGGUUUCCAGGUUUACGUAGAUUUUGAACGACUCAAUAAGGAUAUAAUAUGUUGGGAAGCAGUUUGCACCAUCAUCGGAACAUGUCAUUCCCUCACGGUGGUUCUGUAAUACAUAACAAUAUGCCUCCUGCCGUUAGUAAAAAAAUGGGUGGUGGCCGACUGAAUGCCGUAGUGAACAAACUCCAUUUAGCUAAACAAUGUUCAACUGAUAAUACUUUUCCAGACAUGGCUUCUGAAGAAAGCCGUUUAUCUAUAUUACAAAAUUUAUUGAAUCCAGCGCCAUCGUCAAAUUCAGAAAAGAAAAACUUACGUGCGCCUCCAGCGUUGUUUCCGCUCACUUCUGAAGUGACAAUCCAACGUUACCCUGUUGUUCAUCCAAUACAUGAUAGACCGUUGGAUGUUUUCCAAAGACUUAAACGUCUUGGAACAGACAUUGAAAUGGAAGAAAUCGGAAAUGAAACAACACUGAGUCUUAUACCAGUUUCAUCAUCUCAAAAUGCUUCUGUUUCAUGCAUUCCAACAAAUAAUUUUAAAACUAACUCCCCUGCUACCAGUCUCAUAGUUCUGCCAAAAACCAAUGUGUUCAAUAAUAGGAAAAUACCAGAACCAUCUGUUGUUCUCGAAAUGAAAUUAACUCCAAAACCAAAAGCUCAAAAUACAUGUUUUAAUGGGAAAACAGAACUAAAAAGUUAUGUUUUUUCAAUUGAUCAAUCACAAAUAAGUAUAACAAAUAAUGGACAAAAACUAUACUCAUGUAAUGUAUGUUCAGGUAUAUAUCAAAGAAGAGGUGCUCUAAAGAAACACUAUUUAAAGGCACAUAUUAACUAUCAUUUUUUGACAUCUCGUGACUUGCAAAUAGCUGGUUUUAAAGGUGAAAGACUUGAAAAAAUGAUAGAAAAGUGGAAGAAUACAAAAGGUCAUGUAGGUUACUACCAUUGUCAUAAAUGUUAUAUAUCAUUUAGUACAGCUAUUGAUUUACGGCAUCAUGUGAUGAAUCAUCCUCCAGCUUUACAAUCUAAUGCUUUGAAAAAACUACCUGAUAUUGUUACCAAAGUUUGUGAACUAUGUUUAUAUUGUGAUAAAAAAAUAGAAAAUGAAGAAGAUCGAAAAAGCCAUUUGUCCAAGAUGCACCCACCUAAAAGAAGAUGUCAUAUAUGUACAUACUGUCAACUCAACUUUUUUGAUUUGUACACAUUACAUAAACAUAUGUGUACUACUCAUGAAGAUAUGUAUUAUGGCUGUGCAGAAUGUAAAGAACGAUUUAUUUCUAGAGAGUUGGCUAAAAACCAUAAAACCAUUUGUUUGAAUAACUUAUGUAUAAAAUUAGAAUCUGAUAAUAUGAAAAAAGAGCAUUUGAAAGAAGAACCUACAAAAAACGAAAUACUAGAAACGAAAAUAGAUGAACCUAUAAAUAUUAAUAUUAAAAAUGAAUUAUCAGACAAAGAACCAAAAAAAGAAGAAUUAAAAAAAAAUGAAGAACCAAAAAAAGAGGAACUUAAGAAAAACGAAGAACCGAAUAAAGAGGAAUCAACAAAAAAUGAAGAACCAAUUAGAGAAGAGGUUAAAAAGAAAGAAGAAUCCACCAAAAAUUAUCCAUUUUACUGCCCAGACUGUAAAAAAGGAUUUACUCAACAACCAAACUUAGCACGACACAUGAGUUUAGGUCAUGGUAAAAAGUUGGAGUAUAAAAAAUCUAAAAAGUUAUUACAGCCUUCUAAUAAAAUAAUUUUGUCCAAAAAACUUGUGAAAACUCAAGAAAAAGAAUUGAAAGAUGAGAUUCAAGAUUUAUCAGCUAAAGGAACUCAAUAUGUUUUUUUGAAUAAUAAAAAUGAGCUAGUCACAAAACAAGGAGUACCGUUUGAUGUUUCUUAUAUGAAUCUUGAGAUUCAAAGCAGAAUCAGACGUAUGGUGCCUUCUUUGUAUCCUAGUUCAUCACCAAUAGAGGAUGAUAUGAGUUCAUUAGAGGUUGAUGCAGCUUCUUCGUAUGGUUUUCCAAGUUCCCAUGACGAUGAAAGGAAAAAACUUGAAGGAUUCAGUGGGGAAUGGUUAUAUCCACGUAGUUAUAUUUGUUCAGCAUGUCCAGCUACAUGUUCCAAUAUAUGGGAUAUUUUCUACCAUAAAUGGAAUGUACAUCCUAAUGUACUUUGCCAUCAUUAUGACAUACCAUUAGAUCAACUUCCGUCUCAGAAAUGGCGGCCAGAAAGAAAUUUGAGCAGAAUAGGGUUGUUAUCUGAAUGCGAAGAACAACAAACUAGUUUACCACAGUGUACAAAGUGUGGAAAAAUGGAAAACGAUAUUGCUCAACUUCAUAGGCAUUUGUUAGAUUGUGGUGGUGAUACUGAAUGGCUCAAGACAAUGAUUCAUACAACAAAGUCACCUAAUAACAAAAAGUCUAGAAAAAAUUGGCGGCCUUUUAAUUUCCGAAGACGUAAGAAUGGUAGGGCUAGACAUGGUCUUAAACGAACUCCACCUACUCCACCUUUACCAGUUGUAAAAACUAAACCUGGUGAUGCUGAAAGUGUUAGUCGCAUGAUCGCAGAUUUACCUCCUAAAAGAGUUACACGACGUUUAGUAUUUGAGGCUCCUAAUGGGAAUAACCAAGCAACAAUAAAUAGCAAGUCUGUAUGCUCAAAGGUUCCUAUUGAUAUAAGCAGCCGUAAUCCAACUGUUUCAAGUUCAACUACAUUAUUUAGUAAGAAAGUUAAAAAGCCUUUGCCAGUUAUAACUGAAACUGCUAUGCUUAUUUCCGAAGCACCAGAUUUCUUACGUAGUCUUAACAUCAUGCGUGCUCCACUGAAAUCAACUGAACAUAGUCUUCCUGGCAAUAAGACCGAAACUGAAGAAAUAAUUGCUGCCAUGAAAGAAACUUUAAUGGCUUCUCCAGCUCCCAUCCCUGUUAUUUUACCAAAAAAACGCAAAAGACCAAUUUAUGACUUUAAACAAUUAGCUGAGAAAAUUGCCAAGCAUGACCAUAAUGAAAUUCUUGAUUCAAAAGUUGAUGAUGAUAAUGACAAUACAGAAGAAUCUAUUCCUAUUCCUGUGGUAGUAAAAAAUAAAGGCAAAAAAUUGAUGAAUGAAAUAGAGGUUGGAUUGAUAAAGCAAAAUAGGUUACGUAGGAAGAGAGAAAUUCCAUCUGUACCUGAAAAGGUAAUCCCAGUUCCAUCAAAAAAAUUAAAAAUUGAAAAUGUAGAAAAUAACACAAAGAAUAUAGUGGAAUCCAUUCCAGUCAUUAAACCCAAAAAACAGGUUACAACAAAGAAAACACCUAAAGUCCUCAAAAAAAAGACGAUUGAUGAAAAUUUUGUUUCUAAAAUACAAACCCGUAAUAGAAAGAAAAAUUUUAUUGAGGAAUCUAUGUCUAAUAAGAUACUACUUUCAAGUAAAGAUGAUUCUUUAGCAAAUAAUGAAUCGUCUAAUAGUUUUGUUGACUUAGAGUCUAGUCAAGAAGUCUCUUCAUCUGAGGUUCCUCCAAAACAAAAAACAGUUAAAGUUAAUCCUUUUAAACCAAAAGCUAGGAACAGAAGAAAACCAGGAGUUUUUUUUGGGUCAAGAAAACGAAAGCGUAAUUUAAAGACUGAUAAUAAAAAACAACAGCCUACUUCAACUAAAGUUGAUGAUACACCUUCAUCAUUACCAAAGUUAGAGUAUUCGGAUUCAAAUUUAUUAGUUUCGGACGUAAUUGAUAAAGUUGUACAACCAAAAACUAUAAAAACUGAUAAUUCUGUACAAAAUACAUCUCAAGAAUUGAAAAAAUCUGUUGAAAAUGAGUCCACAGUAGUGGCUGUUAAAGAAGAAAAUAAAGCCACAGCUCCAAUUAGUGCUGAUACAUCCGAGUUAAAAGAACCAGAAGAAGUGGCAGAACCACGUUGGCAUUCACAAUCUGAUGCUUUUUUUGACUUACCUUCGGCUAUUAGUUUGGGAUCAAUAUUGAGCUCAGUUAAUCAGAUAUUGGAAGGUCCUGACUGUAAUGUUGCAAAUACAGAAGUAAAUGAUUAUUCGUGGACAGAAUUACAACGUGCAAUGGGGGCCACUGAUGAAGAAAUGGCUAUAUUACAAAAUUUUGGUUCAAACUCAUCUGAAGAAGGCCAAAAUGUAACUAGUGAAAACUGCUUGGAUCUAUUAGACAUGGACUGUGGAGAGGACCCCAAUAGCAAUCAAGAACAAACUGAUACUCAAAUCAAUAGUGAAUUAAAUUUCAAAUGCAAAGUUUGUGAUCAAUGUUAUAAAGGUGUUGCAGCAUUUCGUAUUCAUUCACUUGAUGUUCAUAGUAUUGAAGAUCCAGAAUUGGCUCAUAAUAGAAGGAGGAGCAGAAGAACUCGACGAGCACAUGGCAAAAGACCAUGAAUUUGAUGAUGCUCCAAAUAGUGAAAAUGGAAAAGAGUUGAAAAAUAAAAUGGUUAACAAGUUGGGUGAAAUAUUGGACCAGGCCUUGAAAAAUCUCAUUUCUUCUACACAAAAACCUUGUGCUGGGAAAACCUGGAGUGGUGGUGCAAUAACUUUGUUGGGA
rnacentral:misc_RNA from 1 species